GUAGGUGGAGUGUGAGGAGGAGAUCUGAGCCCGUGUGUGGACCCAGGUCUGCUGUUACACUGACUAACCCCCACUCUACAG
ensembl:miRNA